AAGGGCACCACAAGAACGCGUGGAGCAUGUGGCUUAAUUUGACUCAACGCGGGAAAUCUUACCGGGUCCGGACACACUGAGGAUUGACAGGCAAUAUUAUAAUUUUUUAAUUGAAAUAAAUUUUUAUUAAUUUAUUUUUUUUAUUUUUUAUAUGUUAAAUAUGCUAGUCCUUUCAUGAUUAUGUGAUAGGUGGUGCAUGGCCGUUCUUAGUUCGUGGAGUGAUCUGUCUGCUUAAUUGCGUUUCACUAUUGGGCUUAUAUAAUUACGUAUGUUGUUAACGCUUUGACCCCUUUCUACGGAUUGUGCGUGUCUUUGUCUCGUUUAACUCAUACAAUUAAGCCCUGAAAGCAACGAACGUGACCGCAACCUCUUGUUGCUCUCAUAUUACCUUAUACUGCAUAAUAUUUGAAUAAUUUAUUUUAUUUUUUUUUAUGUUUAAGAGAGCUUUCUAAACUAGAGGGACCGCUGUUACUUUCUUAAACCAGAGGAAGGUUGCGGCAAUAACAGGUCUGUGAUGCCCUUAGAUGUUCCGGGCUGCACACGUGCUACAAUGAUUAUUGCAGUGAGCAUCUCAUUUUUUACACAUCGCAUGCGCGAGUCCAUUUAUUCAGAUAUCUUUCAUUUACUUUCGGGUGAAUGUAGUGUUUGCUUUAAAUGUGUAUCUCUGCGCGCGAUAAAGCCUGCUUCGAAAGUAAGUGGGUAAUCAAUUAGAAGUAAUGAUUUCCCUUUUUUUUCUGCACACAUAUAUAUGGCACUUAUACCCGGGUAACCUUGUUGUUACUUUUGUGCGUAUACGUGAUAAUCUUUACCGAUUAUACUACCAUAUGUGCAAUUGUCAAUUCAUGGUGGGGACAGACCAUUGUUAAUUGUUGGUCUCGGUCUUAACUAGGAAUGCCUUGUACGGAUCUUUGGUUCAACAAACCAUCCGGAAUACGUCCCUGCCCUUUGUACACACCGCCCGUC
rnacentral:rRNA from 1 species